rnacentral:rRNA from 1 species
GGGGUCGAUAAGAGUCUGACGGAGCAACGCCGCGUGAACGAUGAAGGUUUUCGGAUCGUAAAGUUCUGUUGUUAGGGAAGAACCGCCGGGAUGACCUCCCGGUCUGACGGUACCUAACGAGAAAGCCCCGGCUAACUACGUGCCAGCAGCCGCGG